CUUCCAUUUUCUUUGAAGUCUCUAAACCUUGAUUCUCAUUUCUUUCCUAUAAGGCUGAGGCGAUGAGCACCAAGGUGGUCCAUCAACCCUUCUUCAUCUCCUUCAAACUCAAAGACGUGCGGAGUUCGUCGUUUACCCCAUUCCAAGAGCAGGGAUAGGCUAGAGAGUAGUAGCAGGGCUACAGGUGGUAGCAGGAGCUGACUUUUGGUGUGGGCUACUCGGUGUAGCAAUUUUUGUUAGUUUUAGAUACUGACUUGUUGAGCCCUAGACUAGACAUAUGUAUAUAUAUUUACUCCAUUAUAGGCAUACUCUACUUCUAUGCGGUGUUGUUUUGUUAUGUGACGGCUAGGCGGGUUGUUAUAAAAACAAUAAGAGUUUCUUUUAUUUUUUUUCUUU